GUGGGGAAUCUUGCGCAAUGGGCGAAAGCCUGACGCAGCCAUGCCGCGUGAAUGAUGAAGGUCUUAGGAUUGUAAAAUUCUUUCACCGGGGACGAUAAUGACGGUACCCGGAGAAGAAGCCCCGGCUAACUUCGUGCCAGCAGCCGCGGUAAUACGAAGGGGGCUAGCGUUGCUCGGAAUUACUGGGCGUAAAGGGCGCGUAGGCGGACAGUUUAGUCAGAGGUGAAAGCCCAGGGCUCAACCUUGGAAUUGCCUUUGAUACUGGCUGUCUUGAGUACGGGAGAGGUGAGUGGAACUCCGAGUGUAGAUGUGAAAUUCGUAGAUAUUCGGAAGAACACCAGUGGCGAAGGCGACUCACUGGCCCGUUACUGACGCUGAGGCGCGAAAGCGUGGGGAGCAAACAGGAUUAGAUACCCCGGUAGUCC
rnacentral:rRNA from 1 species